CACCGCCCGUCACACCAUGGGAGUGGGUUCACCAGAGCCGGUUGCCCUAACCUCGCAAGAGGGGGCGCUGACCACGGUGAGCGUUCAUGACUGGGGUG
rnacentral:rRNA from 1 species